GACAGAGGGUGCAACGUUGUUCGGAAUUACUGGCGUAAAGCGCGUGUAGGCGGCUAUGCAAGUCGGAUGUGAAAGCCUCGGCUCAACCGGGGAAGUGCACCGAACUGCAAGCUAGAGUCUCGGAGAGGAUCGUGGAAUUCGUCGGUGUAGAGGUGAAAUUCGUAGAUAUCGAGAGGAACACCGGUGGCGAAGGAGACGGGUC
rnacentral:rRNA from 1 species